CCUACGGGUGGCAGCAGUGGGGAAUAUUGGACAAUGGGGGCAACCCUGAUCCAGCCAUGCCGCGUGUGUGAAGAAGGCCCUCGGGUUGUAAAGCACUUUCAGUGAGGAAGAACGCCUGGUGGUUAAUACCCAUCAGGAAAGACAUCACUCACAGAAGAAGCACCGGCUAACUCCGUGCCAGCAGCCGCGGUAAUACGGAGGGUGCGAGCGUUAAUCGGAAUUACUGGGCGUAAAGCGCGCGUAGGUGGCUUGAUAAGCCGGUUGUGAAAGCCCCGGGCUCAACCUGGGAACGGCAUCCGGAACUGUCAAGCUAGAGUGCAGGAGAGGAAGGUAGAAUUCCCGGUGUAGCGGUGAAAUGCGUAGAGAUCGGGAGGAAUACCAGUGCGAAGGCGGCCUUCUGGACUGACACUGACACUGAGGUGCGAAAGCGUGGGUAGCAAACAGGAUUAGAUACCCCUGUAGUC
rnacentral:rRNA from 1 species